rnacentral:rRNA from 1 species
CCUACGGGAGGCAGCAGUGAGGAAUUUUGCGCAAUGGACGAAAGCCUGACGCAGCGACGCCGCGUGGAGGAUGAAGGCCUUCGGGUUGUAAACUCCUGUUAGAGGGGAAGAAGCCCCGCAAGGGGUUGACGGUACCCUCAGAGGAAGCCCCGGCUAACUACGUGCCAGCAGCCGCGGUAAUACGUAGGGGGCGAGCGUUGUCCGGAAUCACUGGGCGUAAAGCGUCCGUAGGCGGCCUGGUAAGUUGGGUGUGAAAGGUUGAGGCUCAACUUAAAGAGUGCACCCAAUACUGCCAGGCUUGAGGGUCGGAGAGGAGAAUGGAACUCCCAGUGUAGCGGUGAAAUGCGUUGAUAUUGGUAGGAACACCAGUGGCGAAGGCGACUUCCUGGACCGAUACUGACGCUGAUACGCGAAAGCAUGGGGAGCAAACAGGAUUAGAUACCCCUGUAGU